AUAUUGCGCAAUGGGGGGAACCCUGACGCAGCAACGCCGCGUGAGUGAUGAAGGCCUUCGGGUCGUAAAGCUCUGUCAUUGGGGAAGAUAAUGACGGUACCCAAUGAGGAAGCCACGGCUAACUACGUGCCAGCAGCCGCGGUAAUACGUAGGUGGCGAGCGUUGUCCGGAAUUACUGGGCGUAAAGGGUGCGUAGGCGGGAUUUUAAGUCAGAUGUGAAAACCCAGGGCUUAACCUUGGGAUUGCAUUUGAAACUGAAGUUCUAGAGUGCAGGAGAGGAAAGCGGAAUUCCUAGUGUAGCGGUGAAAUGCGUAGAUAUUAGGAAGAACACCAGUGGCGAAGGCGGCUUUCUGGACUGUAACUGACGCUGAGGCACGAAAGCGUGGGGAGCAAACAGG
rnacentral:rRNA from 1 species